rnacentral:rRNA from 1 species
ACUCCUACGGGAGGCAGCAGUGGGGAAUUUUCCGCAAUAGGCGAAAGCCUGACGGAGCAAUGCCGCGUGGAGGUGGAAGGCCUACGGGUCGUCAACUUCUUUUCUCGGAGAAGAAACAAUGACGGUAUCUGAGGAAUAAGCAUCGGCUAACUCUGUGCCAGCAGCCGCGGUAAU